rnacentral:rRNA from 1 species
CAGUCGCCGCGGUAAUACGAAGGGGGCUAGCGUUGCUCGGAAUGACUGGGCGUAAAGGGCGCGUAGGCGGUUUUGACAGUCAGAUGUGAAAUUCCUGGGCUUAACCUGGGAGCUGCAUUUGAGACGUCAAGACUAGAGUGUGAGAGAGGGUUGUGGAAUUCCCAGUGUAGAGGUGAAAUUCGUAGAUAUUGGGAAGAACGCCGGUGGCGAAGGCGGCAACCUGGCUCAUUACUGACGCUGAGGCGCGAAAGCGUGGGGAGCAAACAGGAUUAGAUACCCCAGUAGUCCCUGUCUCUUAUAA